GCCCAGUUGGUGAAAUUGGUAGACACGCCAUCUUGAGGGGGUGGUGUCGCAAGACGUGCUGGUUCGAGUCCAGUACUGGGCA
rnacentral:tRNA from 1 species